UUAAAGUAUUUUAUAAUUAGCUUUGCCUUCAAGGGGGUAUCAGUCCUGCCCCCCCAACCAUCAUGAUAAAGGUUUAUGGUAUUUAAAUAUAGUACAUAUCUGUUAUUGAGAAAAAGAACGAACCAUUGGCAAGAUCAUGGAAGAGUGAGUUCCUGUGUUAAUACGAUGCUGAAAAUAAUAGAUCCCAUUGUGACCCAACUCUCCCUACACUCCAGUCUAUUAAAUUUUAAGGGAGAAAUCUGAGACUUUGAGAGGCUAACUUCUCAAGUUCAAAGUGAAUUUCCAGGCAAUGAACCUCCCAUUGAGACACAUAUUUGUAACUGUGCUUUCUGAGAACAAACCGAGUUCUUUGGCCACCUACAACCUCCCGAGCAGGAUGGAAACGGAGAGCAAGCCAGAUCCCCAAGGUAGGCUACUGUGGGUGGCCUUGAACUGUGGAUGUUGUGCAGUUGUGGUGUCGAAUAGUUCCUUGGUUGGUUCACCAAUGAGUUUCAUUUGCAAUAUGUUAACGCCCAGUAAGAAGCUUCAUAAGGUACAAAGUGCUAUACAUCAUUUAUUCUGAUUGUUAAAUCUAUAUAGAGGGUAAGAGGGUAUUCAUUUUAUUCUCUACAAUUUUUUUUUUGUAUUUAGACAUUUUACAAUUUAAAACAUUGAAAAAAAUUUGUUCUGACAAUAUUUUUAGGGACCCUACUAGGAGGCUGGCUGUGGGCGUACAGUCCCUGACCGUCAAAGGCUUACAGGACUAUCCUAAAGAAAUUACUGGAUGUAUGCAAAGUCGCACUACAAGAUGUCCCUCACAGAAUUGUUCAUGAAACCAAGAAUUGAAAACAACCUAAAUGUCUACCAGUAGAAGAGAUAGUAAGUACAAGUGUCGUAUGCCCAUCCUGUGGCAUACCGUGCAUCUGAUAAGAGUACGCAAGGCCUGUGCAUCUUGAUCCACGCGCACUGUUAUUUUAAAAAACUGGGAAAAUGUGUAUCGCAUCAUACGUACACAUAACAAGUACAUAUACAUGCGUAAACACGUCAGGAAAUGGGUAGGAUGUACAGCCAGCUGUUACCUAUAAAAAGGAGAAAAAGUGACAUGAGGGGGUGAUGGAAAAGUUUCCCCAUUUUCUUUGUAUACAUCUAUAUUCUUUGAAUCUUGUACAGUGACUGUUUAUUUAUGUACUACUGUGGUUCUGGUUAUGUAUUGUUGCAUAACCAACACCCCAGAAGUUAGUGGUGUAAAAACAGCCUUUCUCCUCUCACAAUUUUGUGGUCAGGGUUUUGAGCAGGGCACAACAGGGACAACUCAUGUCUGCUCCAUGACUGGAGCUUCAGCUGGGGUGGCUCCCAUGUCCAGAGAUUGCUGGAAAGGAAUGGGAUACUUGACUGGGGUUAUGUGUCUGUGGCUUCGGUACUGGCUGUCCGCUGGUGACUCCUUGGUGCUUGCCCCCCUUGUGUCUGCUGGGACUGGAAUAUCCAAGUGACUUCUUCACCUGCGUGUGGCGUGCCUGCGCUGGGCUGUCUGGAACAGGUAGAUUGCUGCACGUCCGUCUCUGUCCGUGUGCAUAGCUUGGGCUUCCUCAUGGCGUGGCGGUCUCAAGGUAAUCAGCCUUCUUAAAUGGCGGCUGGUGUUCUCAGAGGUGGCAUUCCAGGAAGCCCCAGGUGGUGGCUUCAAGACUUCUUAGAUAGGCCCAGAAGGUCAUGUCCACUUCAUUCUGUUGCCCAAGCUUGUCACCAAGGCCAGUCUAGGUACCCCUUGUCAAUAAGUAAUAAGGAAUUUGCGGCCAUUUUUAACCUACCACACUUAACGUGAUGUUAAAAGACUUUCAACAGGAAAUUCAACCUGACCCAUGAUUUAUAGUGACCUUCAUUAAAUCAGAGCACACCCA